UACAGAGGUCUCAAGCGUUGUUCGGAUUCAUUGGGCGUAAAGGGCGCGUAGGCGGCGAGGUAAGUCGGGUGUGAAAUCUCAGAGCUCAACUCUGAAACUGCACUCGAUACUGCUUUGCUAGAGGACUGGAGAGGAGAUUGGAAUUCACGGUGUAGCAGUGAAAUGCGUAGAGAUCGUGAGGAAGACCAGUGGCGAAGGCGGAUCUCUGGACAGUUCCUGACGCUGGGGCGCGAAGGCCAGGGGAGCAAACGGG
rnacentral:rRNA from 1 species